AGCAGAGCAUGCUCACGGGUCUGACCAUCCUUGGAAAUACCAGCUUCAAAACCACCAGUGGUAGAGUCAAUAAUGAGCACAGCACAGUCAGCCUGUGAGGUACCAGUGAUCAUGUUCUUGAUGAAGUCGCGAUGUCCAGGAGCAUCAAUGACAGUGCAGUAAUAUUUAGUGGUCUCAAACUUCCAAAGAGCAAUAUCAAUGGUGAUACCACGCUCACGUUCAGCCUUAAGCUUGUCCAAGACCCAAGCAUACUUGAAUGACCUUUUGUUCAUUUCAGCAGCUUCCUUCUCAAAUCUCUCAAUCACACGCUUGUCAAUACCUCCAAGCUUGUAGAUUAAAUGACCAGUGGUUGUUGACUUGCCAGAGUCGACAUGGCCAAUGACCACAAUAUUAAUGUGAACCUUCUCCUUACCCAUGAUAAAAUUUGGAAGAGAAGCUAAAAAUGAUAAAUCGAAGAUGUUAGGUAAAAUCAUCUAACAGAAAACAAUUUCCCCAGAACAAGAAGCAACCCAAUAAUCAUACAUAACGGUACUGCAUUCGGGGUUAAGCAUUUAUCCUCAAUAAUGAAAAACAUUUGAACAUGAUAAUCUAAUCCUCAGCAAUUAAAAAGUCAAAAUAAGAUAAAAAAAUAAAGAAACUGAGUUAAUAUUAAAGUAACAAAGCCCAGAACUAGCUUUUGACAUAAAAAGCAAGUAAAGAAGGCAAGGCUGCUGGGAUUCGAGCCCAGGUUUCCACAUAACAGUGUGGAAUUUACCAUUAAAGUACAGCCACCAAAAAAUUAGUCUUUGAACCUGGAAUUAGGCACCCAUUACCAUAAAAACAAACAGCGAUAUAUAUCAAAUAUUUUAAACGGUUUGCUUUGGCCUAAUCUCCAGCUAACGAUUUCAAAUCAAAACUCAAUAGCAUAAGAUCCCCAAGCUCGAGCAUUAAUCAAAUUUAUCUUAUAGAAAAAGAUAUCGGCUCGAAAAAACAAACCACAUAAAGGAACACGGUUCAAAAAGCAUUAUUUGAUCCAAACAAACAGAUCCAAUAACAUAUUAAGAAACCCAUAAAGAUUAUGAACAAUAACAAUAGAUCAGAUCGAUUACAAGCUUUUCAUAGUCAAUAACAUCGAGGAAAAACUGAACCACAUCGGAUCUAAUCUAUCAAACAGAUAAACUUAUAUAUAAACAUGUAUGUAUAACACGUAAAGGAAGAUAGGAAGAGACGAACCUUAAAAAUAAUAACAGAGAAAACGACUAUUAGAGGAGGAGACUCGCCAGCAGAAGAAGUGCUCUCCCGCAGAAAUUGAGAGAGCGUAGAUAGCAAGCGAAAGAGGAAGAGUGAGGCUGCUUGCCCUGGUUUAAGUACUAUCGUAACAUCGCUAAAGCCUUUGGCCUAAGUAGGGUUUCUCUUUCAUCCGUUGGAUUAUUUAUCAACGGCUAGUAUUUAUUGGUUCAUCUAAGCCGUUGAAAUUUUGAUAUUUUUAUCUUCGCGUGCCUUAUUAUGCCACGUCGGAUUUGCAUUGUGGAAUUACCACAUGUUCUUAAAUAUUAUCCAGGCACAGUGGACUUGCCUAGGGUAAGCACAUGGCUGGAUGGAUUAAUCUAAAUCAAACCGAAUCAAUUUAAUUUUAUAAUUAAUUCAGUUUUUCCAAUAAAUGGAUUAGGUUUUAUUGUAAAAUUUGUAGAAUUUUGUUAUUGUAGUUCAAUUUUAUUUUGAUAAUAAAAUUAAAACAACAAAAUAAAAAAAAAAUUAUAUUUACGCAUCUAAUUUUUGUAUAUAAAAAUCUUUUUGGAAAUAUAAUUCGAUUUUUCUUUUACAAAAUGAUUUUUAAAAAAUUUUGAAUCGAACCGAUCAAAUGCUAAAUCCUAAAAUUGCCCCUAAACUAUCUAAUCUCUCCGUGCUACAGAAUCCAAAUAAUAACACAGUAAUAAUAGAGAAAUUAUUCAAUGGAAGAGAUAUUUUCGCUUGCUACAUAUUUCAUGAAUUUAUGAUAUUAUUUUUCAUAUAAAUUAUAAAUAUAACAACAAUUAAAUUUUGAUCUAAAUUAGUUAGAAUUGACUUAUCAAUCCUUUAUUUUCCAAUAUGCUCUGAUAGAUAAAUAAAUAUUUGUAUCAUCUUGAACGUGAUUCUCACUUCAUACUCAUUGACAUUUUAAGCUAAAUUGAAAAAAUUUGAUGACUAUAAUAAUUGAAGACGACGAAUUAUAUAAAAUAAUUGGUUAUAUUAAAAUUAUCAAAUAUUUAUAUUCUCAUUCAAUUUUUAAUUUGAAUUUCUUUUUGAGUAAGGAUACAUUGAUCAUCAUAAUUAAUAUUUCAUUUAACUAAAAUUUAUAAUCCUAUUAAUUAUUUAGUGCAAAAUUUAUAAAUUCACUUAUAUUUAUUUACCAAAAAACUUUAUACACUUCAAACUUUUAUGACUCAUGAAAAAUCUAUAUCUCCAAAACUAUAAAUUUUGUAAAAGGAUAUCAAAUUACAUAUCAUCGUUAUUUUAAUCUAUUGAGCCUUUUAAUGAAUAAAAAAUAUAAUUUCUCCAUAAAUUUAGCAUUAAUGAGUUAUUAUUGGGACCUUGAUGAGCGUUGGAAUAUGAAUUAGGGUGCUACUGGAUCGAAUUACUGGACAUUUGGGCCUAGGGGCAAACAUAAACAUCUAAAAUUCUUUUCCCCCUCUUCAAUCGGUCAUCAUUUCCCAACUAGUAGCCCAACGACAAAUGAGAGAAAACACAUGUCGUUUCUUAUACUUUUCCAAAGAACCAGAGACGAACAUGAAGGACCAAUAACUAUUAGAAAGCUAAAUAAAAAUGGAAUGAAGAUAGUAUGAUAAAUUGAAGUUUGUGGCUCUAAAAUCCAAAAACAACAUAUAACAAUCAGAAGAGGAUGCAAAAGACAAUAACUUAAGAACCUAAGUCACAAAACUGCCAGAUAACUGAAACUGAAACCAAAAACAACAGCAAGACAUAACUUAAAACAAAACAUAACUAAACUAACUGUAACUUCAUUCACCCAAUGCUUUACUUUUUCUUUGCUGCGGAUUUGGUGACCUUUGCACCAGAUGGAUCCUUCUUCUCAACACUCUUGAUGACACCAACAGCAACUGUCUGGCGCAUGUCCCUCACAGCAAAACGACCCAGAGGAGGGUACUCAGAAAAGGUCUCCACAACCAUGGGCUUGGUGGGAAUCAUCUUCACAAAUCCAGCAUCACCAUUCUUCAAGAAUUUUGGCUCCUUCUCCAGCUCUUUACCAGAUCGCCUAUCAAUCUUGGUUAGGAUCUCAGCAAACUUAACAGCAAUGUGGGAGGUGUGGCAGUCAAGGACAGGAGCAUAUCCGUUUCCAAUUUGACCAGGGUGGUUCAUGAUGAUGACCUGAGAGGUGAAGUUGGCAGCUUCCUUCGCAGGAUCAUCCUUGGAGUUAGAGGCAACAAAACCACGUUUCAAAUCCUUGACAGCAACAUUCUUCACAUUGAAGCCAACAUUGUCACCUGGAAGGGCCUCCUGGAGAGCUUCAUGGUGCAUCUCAACAGACUUAACUUCAGUGGUCAGUCCAGAUGGUCCGAAGGUGACAACCAUACCAGGUUUUAAGACACCAGUCUCAACACGACCGACAGGGACAGUUCCGAUACCACCAAUCUUGUAGACAUCCUGAAGUGGGAGACGGAGUGGCUUGUCUGUUGGCCUCUUUGGCUCAUUGAUCAAGUCGAGGGCCUCAAGGAGGGUAGGGCCCUUGUACCAAUCGAGGUUUGUUGACCUCUCAAUCAUGUUAUCACCCUCAAAACCAGAGAUUGGCACAAAUGGGAUCUUGUCAGGGUUGUAACCCACCUUCUUCAAGUAGGAAGAAACUUCCUUCACAAUUUCAUCGUAUCUAGCCUUAGAGUACUUGGGGGUUGUGGCAUCCAUCUAUCACAUAAAUCAGGAAUUGAAGUUACAACACACAAAAUUACAAGACAACUGCUACAAGGAAACAACAUUAUAAGGACCAAAGAGGCUCACCUUGUUGCAGCAACAGAUCAUCUGCUUCACACCAAGAGUGAAAGCAAGCAGAGCAUGCUCACGGGUCUGACCAUCCUUGGAAAUACCAGCUUCGAAACCACCAGUGGUAGAGUCAAUAAUCAGCACAGCACAGUCAGCCUGUGAGGUACCAGUGAUCAUGUUCUUGAUAAAGUCGCGAUGUCCAGGAGCAUCAAUGACAGUGCAGUAAUAUUUAGUGGUCUCAAACUUCCAAAGAGCAAUAUCAAUGGUGAUACCACGCUCACGUUCAGCCUUAAGCUUGUCCAAGACCCAAGCAUACUUGAAUGACCUUUUGUUCAUUUCAGCAGCUUCCUUCUCAAAUCUCUCAAUCACACGCUUGUCAAUACCUCCAAGCUUGUAGAUUAAAUGACCAGUGGUUGUUGACUUGCCAGAGUCGACAUGGCCAAUGACCACAAUAUUAAUGUGAACCUUCUCCUUACCCAUGAUAAAAGUUGGGAGAGAAGCUGAAAUGAAAAAAAUCCAAGAUGUCAGGCAAAAUCAUCUAACACAACAUAAUUUCACCAGAACAAAAAAACCCAAUAAUCACAUAAUGAUACUGCCUUCUAGGUUAAGCAUUUAUCCUGAAUAAUGACACACAUUUGAACAUUUUAAUCUAAUCCUCAGCCAUUAAAAGGCCAAAAUAAGCUAAAAAUAAACUGAGAAAAUAUUUAGUAACAAAACCCUAAACUAGCUUUUGAUAUAAAAAUCAAGUAACGCAGGCGUGGCUGCUGGGAUUCGAGCCCAGGUCUCCACAUAACAUUGUGGAAUUUACCAUUAAAGUACAGCCACCAAAAAAUUAGUCUUUGAACCUGGAAUAGAAACCCAUUCCCAUCAAAACAAACAGCGACCUAAAUCAAGUAUUUAAACCGGUUUGCUUUGGUCUAAUCUCCAGCUAAAGAUGUCAAAUCAAAACUCAAUAUCAAAACCACCCUAAGCUAAAGCAGUAAUCAAAGUUAUCUUAUAGAUAAAGAGAUCCGCUCGAAAAAACAAACCACAUAAACGAACACGGUACAAAAAGCAUUAUUUAAACAAAUUAAACAGAUCAAAUAACAUAUUAAGAAACCCCUAAAGAUUACGAACUCUAAGAAUAAAUCAGAUCGAUCACAAGCUUUUCAUAAUCAAUAACAUAGGAGAAAACCAAAUCUAAUCUAAUCUAUCAAACACAUAAACAAAUAUAUGUGUAACACAUAAAGGAGGAGAAAAAGAGAUCGAACCUUAAAAAUAACCAGAGAAAACGACUCUUAGAGGAGGAGAUUCGCUAGCCGAAGAAGUGCUCUCUCGCAGAAAUAGAGAGAUCGUAGAAAGCAAGGGAAAGAUGACCAGCGGGGCUGCUUGCUCUGGUUUAAGUAUUAUCGUAACAUCGCUAAAGCCUUUGGCCUAAGUAGGGUUUCUCUUUCAUCCGUUGGAUUAUUUUAUCAACGGCCAGUAUUAAUCGCUCAUCUAAGCCGUCGAUAUUCUGAUAUUUUUAUCUCGCGUGCCAUAUUUUGCCACGUCGGAUUUGCAUCGUGAAAGUACCACAUUGUUCUUAGGAAUCCGGUCUAAGUAAAUUUUUCCGUUGUCGUUAAUAUUAUUCAGACACUGGAUUAGUGGAUUUGCCAGGGGCAAGCAGAUGGUUCGAUUAAUUUAAAUCAAACCGAAUCAAUUCAAUUUUAUAAUUAAUUCAGUUUUUCCACAAUUCAAUUCAGUUUUAUUUAAAAAUUUAUAGAAUAAUUUGUGUUAUUGUAGUUCAAUUUUAUUUUGAUAAUAAAAAUUAAAGUAACCUAAUAAAUCUAAACUAUAUAUACUUUUACAUUUAAUUUUUAAUAUAUACAAGUAUUUUUAGAAAUUUAAUUCUAUUUUAAUUUUCUUUUAAAAAAAGAUUUUUCAUAAAAUUUUAAAUCGAACCGAUCAAAUAUUAAAUUCUGAAAUUGCCACUCAACUGUUUGCUCAAAUCCAAAAAUAAUGACACCAUAGUGACAACACAUUUUAAAUUGAGAAAUUAUUUCACGUGAUAAAAUUUUCUCAACGUAUUGUCAAUUUGGUAAGAAUGAUUUGGCUACAAAUCAUCUUUUGAAUAAUUUCCCUUAAUCAUUAAUUGAUGCUAUUAUUUUUCAUAUAAAUUCGAUCACAAAUACAAUUAAUAAAUUUUAACUCAAACCAAUAACGAAAAUUAUGAAAUCAUCACAUCAAAUUAUAAAUAAAACAAUUAAAUUUAAUUAUAAAAAUAAUUAGAGUCGACUAUAUGAAUAUUUUAUUUUUAUUAUCUGCUUUGUUAAAUAAAUAAAAUAUGUAUCGUCCUGAACGUGAUUUUCACUUCGUACUCGUUGACAUUUUAAGCUAAAUUUUCACUAAACAUCAACAACACUCAACUCCUUUUUAUCUGCAUUAGCCUGCUUGAUGGUAACCAUCCAUGUUCUGAACUUCAAAUUUCAUGAAGGAAAAAUUUGUUAAAAUUGCAUUUUAAGAACAGUUCAGACAGUAAUGCCUGUGCAAACAUGUUACAUAGUACAAACUAUUACAUUUUGCCUCUUCAGAGUUCAGACCAACCCAUCUUAGAUUGAGAUCUAGGUCAUGGGUUAUCUCUGGUUCAAAUUUUACAUUCCGAUUUGCGAAUAAGAUUACAUCAAGAAUUCUAUUUGUCAAGCCCAUAGUCCAAACCAUUCGCCAUAUUUCUCAGGUCUUCAUUCUCAUGAAACUGAAAUCUUUCCAUGGCUUCUAUGCCAAUAUCCUCUCGUUCAACAAGCUUUGGGCCCUCUCCAUUUGGCAUCCCCCUCAAAACCUGCAACAACCAUAAAUUGAUAAUCAGCAUGACUCUUAUUUGCAGUAAUAGAAAGACAAAUGAACAAAUAAAUAACUGCCUGACUCAACAAAAAAUUUUAAACUCUCAUAAUGUAAGUUACCGGGAAUAAGCAAUUGCUAGAUGUUUGAUGUUGCUAAUCUUUGUAUAAGCAGUUGGAGAACAUCAUUUUUCACCAGCAUGCUAUUAGCAACAUUUGAGAGGGCUGAAAGAUUCACCACUACGCAUGCUACUUCAGUUGCCAACUCCCCAUCCCUGAAUUCCAUAAGCAUGUUUAACUAUACUUUGAACUUGAGAGCAAAAAAGAAAAAUGGUGCGACAUUAUUUUUCAACUAACAAAAACUGAGAAACCAAGUAGGAUAUCAUGAACUACAUAAAAGGACCAAAGUGGAGCCAACCAAAUAUCUAGAGAGACUACUUCCACGCGACUUAUGCUUACCAUAUGCUUGAUACCGAUCUUUAUUACUCAAUGGCGUAACAAUAAUUAUUAAUCUUCUUGGAACCAACAUUGUUUCUUUUUCCUAUUUAUGUUCUUGAUCUUGUGUUUCCAAAAACUUUGCACGUUCUGCAGAUUCUUUAGACGUCGCUGGAGUUGCCAUUGGAGUUUCAGCUUCUAAUUAAACUCUGGUUUACAUUCUCAGCUCCAGCAGGCUGUGAAGUCACUGCUAAAUUCGACAGGUUGAGGAGAAAAAUGAGAUUUGUUUGAUGAAAUAAUUUGACUUGAGAAUACUGAAGAUUUACCAGUAGGAGCAAAGCCUGAAAAGAAACCCAUAACAAAACACAAAGCAAAAUGAACAACAGCUUUUUUCCAUAACUGAACUUCUUUUUUGAUCUUUCUAAAGAACCCAUUUCGACAAAAUCUUGAAUCUGAGGUUUGAUGAAAAAGAAGCUCUCAGAGAGAACUCAGAAAAUGCAAUACCAUAUGGUAUAUGUAUAUAUAUAACAGUAGAAGUUUUUUCCAUAGUAGAAGUUUUAUUGCUUGAUUUGGUCGUAUCUUUAAGUGAAAGGAAGUAUAAUUAAAUACAAGAGUGCACCAAAUACUUGUUGGGGAUGGAACCCAUCAACUAAACAUAUGUAUUGAUUAUCAUUAUAUACUUUAUGUAACAUUACUGAAAUAAUCUCCUCACCACCUUUGUGAAGAUUUUUUUUUCUUUUUCCAGAGUUUAACAUUCGAAAUACUAACAGCGACAGAUAGAACAUGCACGAGGACAUACAAACCUGAACCAGCAAUUGAGAGUCUAAGAAAAUAUAACUUACUAGUUAAAACCAUCUUUGUGAAGAUACAGUGGUUUCACUUCCGUUAUAUUAUUAUUUGUUCUUAGUCUGGGAAUGAAAUAUUCCAAAAAAAUUCAAUUUUUGAGAGUGAAAUAUAUUUUUACGAGGAAACUUUAAUCCGUCGGCUUCAGUUACUGUGGUGAAGAAAGACUGGUAAUUUGUCUCAUCUGGCGAUCCAUUAACUACAGAUAUGAUAAUUACCUGUUAGAUAUGAAUUAACUAACAAACAGAGACUAACAUGAAGACAAAAAACUACAGAAUGCUAAAUAAAAAUGAGAUGGAUAUAGUAACAUAAAUAGCAAAAGUUUGUGGCUCCAAAAUCCGCAAAACACAAUACAACAAUUCAGAACGACACAAAAGACAGUAACUUGAGAACUUAGGUCACAAAACUGCCAGAUAACUGGAACUGAAACCAAAAACAACAGGAAGACAUUACUUAAAACAAAACAUAACUAAACUAAUAACUGUAACAUCAUUCACCCAAUGCUUUACUUUUUCUUUGCUGCGGAUUUGGUGACCUUAGCACCACUUGGGUCCUUCUUCUCAACACUCUUGAUGACACCAACAGCAACUGUCUGGCGCAUGUCCCUCACAGCAAAACGACCCAGGGGAGGGUACUCAGAAAAGGUCUCCACAACCAUGGGCUUGGUGGGAAUCAUCUUCACAAAUCCAGCAUCACCAUUCUUCAAGAAUUUUGGCUCCUUCUCAAGCUCUUUACCAGAUCGCCUAUCAAUCUUGGUUAGGAUCUCAGCAAACUUAACAGCAAUGUGGGAGGUGUGGCAGUCAAGGACUGGAGCGUAUCCGUUUCCAAUUUGACCAGGGUGGUUCAUGAUGAUGACCUGAGAGGUGAAGUUGGCAGCUUCCUUCGCAGGAUCAUCCUUGGAGUUAGAGGCAACAAAACCACGUUUCAAAUCCUUGACAGCAACAUUCUUCACAUUGAAGCCAACAUUGUCACCUGGAAGGGCCUCCUGGAGAGCUUCAUGGUGCAUCUCAACAGACUUAACUUCAGUGGUCAGUCCAGAUGGUCCGAAGGUGACAACCAUAAAAUUACAACACAACUGCUACAAGGAAACAACAUUGCAAGGACCAAAGAGGCUCACCUUGUUGCAGCAACAGAUCAUCUGCUUCACACCAAGAGUGAAAGCAAGCAGAGCAUGUUCACGGGUCUGACCAUCCUUGGAAAUACCAGCUUCGAAACCACCAGUGGUAGAGUCAAUAAUCAGCACAGCACAGUCAGCCUGUGAGGUACCAGUGAUCAUGUUCUUGAUAAAGUCGCGAUGUCCAGGAGCAUCAAUGACAGUGCAGUAAUAUUUAGUUGUCUCAAACUUCCAAAGAGCAAUAUCAAUGGUGAUACCAC
rnacentral:lncRNA from 1 species